ACCUGCCAUUUCACAGGCAACAUUUUAAAAGACAAUUUCUCAGUUAAAUACAUAAUAGAAGAACUCGCAAGACAUCAAACUACAUAUUAAAUAAUGCUACACAGUGCACAUGAGAUUAUAUUUUUCUUCGUGAGAACAGAGUAAGGGUGAAAGAGAACACUCCUCUUGUCAGUGACCAAGCUGCUAUAGCCAAAGUAUAACACUUUUCUGUGAGCCAGAA